CCUACGGGUGGCAGCAGUGAGGAAUAUUGGUCAAUGGGCGCGAGCCUGAACCAGCCACGUAGCGUGAAGGAUGACUGCCCUACGGGUUGUCAACUUCUUUUAUAAAGGAAUACAGUGAGGCACGUGUGCCAUUUUGUAUGUCCUUUAUGAAUAAGGAUCGGCUAACUCCGUGCCAGCAGCCGCGGUAAUACGGAGGAUUCGCGCGUUAUCCGGAUUUCUUGGGUGUAAAGGGAGCGUAGAUGGGUUGUUAAGUCAGUUGUGAAAGUUUGCGGCUCAACCAGAAAAUUGCAAUUGAUACUGGUAGCCUUGAGUACAGUUGAGGUAAGUGGAAUUCGUGGUGUAGCGGUGGAAUGCGUAGAUAUCAGGAAGAACUCCGAGUGCGAAGGCAGCCUACUAAACUGCCACUGACAUUGAGGCUCGAAAGUGUGGGUAUCAAACAGGAUUAGAUACCCGGGUAGUC
rnacentral:rRNA from 1 species